rnacentral:lncRNA from 1 species
AGUCAAUGUUUAUCCCCUCAUUCGGCCGACGAUACCACUGAGCUGUCUUCCACUUUUGCUUUCACUUUUCCCUGGUUUCAAUCGCCCCUUGACCUGAAAUGAGUGGCUUCUGGUUUUCUUCUCAUUUCGGUUCUUCGAAGUCCACUGACCCACGCACCUCAACUCCUUGCAUCUCCUCCCACCGAAAUCCCCAUCUUCACUGAAGCGUAGUCUCUGCUGCAGCUCACGCCAGCUACCCCACUACCAACACACCAAACUUCAUCAACGUUUGCCCGUCUUCAACGCGCCAUCUCCAUGCUUCGGUCAAACCAACGAAACCAAAGUAGCUCCGUGUGUCCUACUCUUUCACGUGCAGCACCACCGAGUCAGUCUAGCAGCAUCCCACGAUGGUUUACUUUUCCACUUGGCGUCACCGCUUCUUGCUUCCCCUCUGUCCAGCGACUCCACCAGAGAAGUCAGCCCGUGAUUGUCUCCUCUUUCGUCCGCAAGACUGCCUCAUCUCCACGGAAGCAACAGCCAUCCACUAUCUUGCACGAAGCCGAGUCCUCAGCCCGUGUUUUUAGUCCAGCUCGGCACCACUUCGAGCAACCCGCGAAGUCAGUUCAGCCCCCGUGACAGCCCUAGAACUCUUGAUCAGCAGCUAUUUUACAGCAAGGGUUUGAAGGUCCCGUGGCCCGUUUUUGAGCCAUCCCAAUUCCGGUUGGCAGAACCGCUUUGAAGAGAACUGAGCUUUGUUCCGUGCUCAUUGAUUUGAUCCGAGCAAAUCUUUAAUCAGGUGAGUUUUGCUCACUAAUGCUUUCUUAGUUUGCUAAUUAUACUUAAAGAUUGAUUAGUGUUAGUUAAGUAUAAUUAGGUGGCUAGAUUAGAAUAGAUUAGUGAUUAUUAGUGAAUUGUAUCGCAUAUUAGUGAAAUAGUUAGUGUACUUGGCUAGAGAAUGGCCUAUAGUAUUUAUUGAAUGCUUUUUGGGAGUUUUCCCGACCCUUAUCGGGUGUUAAUUAGGCAAUUCGGGCCUAAAUGGAAAUUUUUAGGAAUUAAAUAUUAAUUUUCGAAAUUAAUUAUUUAAUUAUUUAUUUUCCGAAAAUUCAACUAGGAUGGUUAGUGAUCGGGAUUUUAUGCUGAUGAUCGCAGUGUAGUCCGUUUAUUUAAUUGAGCUUUAUAUUGUGCUAAAUUGAAUUUAUUGUAUUUAUUUAUUUAAUUUUCGAAAUUAAUUAUUUAUUUUCCGGAAAUUCAACCGGGAUGGUCGGUGACCGGAAUUUCGUGCCGAUUUUCGUGGUGCAGUCUAUUUAUUUAUUUGAACUCCACACUGUGCUGGAUUGAAUUAAUUGUGCAAUUUGAGGAAUUGUUCCUUAAUUGAUUGAAAUUGAGUGGAAUUGAAUGAUUGAUUCGGUAGGUGGCCGAGUAUGGCUAUUUAGCAUUUACAAUGCCUUGAUGAGUUGGUGGAGAGAGUCGUGAGAGUGAACUGAGAACUCUAUUGGCUGAGACCAAUCAUGUACGAAAUAUAGAUAGGCGUAGUUCGGUGAUUAAGGAUAUCACUGUGUGAAAACGGCGCCUCAAAGAACGCACGUAGACUGUCUAUGACUUCUAACGGGCAUGGUUCGGUGAUGAAGGAUAUCACUUGCGAAAAUAGCGCCUUAAAGAACGCACGUAGACUGCCUAUGAUUUGUGACAGGCGUGGUUCGGUGAUGAAGGACAUCACUGUGCGAAAACGGUGCCUUAAAUAAUGCACGUAGACUGUCUGUGAUCUAUGACGGGCGUGGUUCGGUGAUGAGGAAUAUUACUGUGCAAAAACAGCGCCUUAAAGAAUGCACAUAGACUGUCUAUUACUUAUGUCACCUUAGCGAAAACGACGCCCGAGAGUAUUAAUGAAGCUCUGUGACUAAGUGUACUAUUGGAGGUUAUGUGGGAUGAAGUGAAUGACCUAGAAAUGGUCCGAUUGACAUGUAAUUGACUAGGUCAAUUUGAUCGAUGCUUUGACCAAUGAUGUGAUUGCUUGGGUGCCUAUUUGAUUUAUGCUAAUAUGCAGGUGGAACCUGAGGCCAAGGUAAGUCCUCUGACUCAUGUUGUGCAUAGACAGCCCUAAGGUGUAUUAGUUUACUAAUUGGGUCUUAGGGGGUAGAACUUGCUGAGAUGUGGUCUCAAUGGUUAUUGAAUAACCAUUUCAGGACCCUGAUGAGGAGCCUGAGGAGGAGGAAUCUAAAGAGGAGAACUCUAAUGUGGAACCAAAUGAGAAUGAAGAUUUUGGAGAAUAAGAUGACCAUGAGGAGGACCCUGAGUACAACCCGGAUGAGGACUGAGAUCCCAUCCCGUUUUGUCAGACCUUGAUUAUAUGUGGAUGAACGUUAGAUAAGACCCCUAGUAUUGCAUUAUAUGCUAUGAGGUGCUUGUAUAAAAGAGUAGUUGAGAAUUUCAGUAUGAAAAUUAUGGUUCUGCUUUUCUAUCCCAUUGUUUUAUUGUCUGG